UUUAAUCUAUGGUCCAGUUGUCCUGUAUCUAUGAUCUGGACGGCGUCAACCACAAACAAAAGAUAUAUAGCGUGAAUAUUAUUGCGAAUGAUACGUAAACAUCUAUGACUUGAACAAUCUAUGGUGUGAUUACCCUAGGUACAUGUAUGGUACACUAUUAUCUAUGAUGGUACAUCUAUUAUCAAUGAGUGUGAACCUUUUAAUGUGCUGGAUUUCGUAAGAAAUUAAAAUUGUUUAAAAUUCUUUUCAGAAAAUGGUGUUUAUAGUACAUCAAGCAAUUAGUGCUGUUUUGAAGCCUCUUUCUAUAAAUGUGUACUAUGGGUAUAGGACCCGGAGUGAACUCUGCUAUUAUCAACGAUUGUAUGGUGAAAAAUAGGACUGUAAACUGUGACCAGUAUGGGCAUGAAUAAAUUAUAUCAAAAGGAAUAUUAUACAAGCUUGUAGCAGUCUGUAUUUCAUCCCAGUAUGGAUCAGUAUUAUUUUAUUCACCUCACUGGAAGCAGAAAUAACAAGGAUUGCCCAACAACUGAAUUGGAAUUGAAGUUAAGUUUGAUGCUACUGAAACAACCGAUGCUUUUUGACGUUUUCACCUUUCGCAAUAUUAUCCGUUUAAUUUGAAUUUGCGAGGAGGAGGCAACUGGAAAUUAAUUUGGAAACUACUGAAACACAUACAGUCUGCAGUGGUAUCCCUCUUGGAUUUGGUUUGGUCAUCACGUUCGUAGACUCUAGAAUGCUACUUUUUGCAGUUAAUUAAGAUUUGGCCAACGAAUUAAAGAGAAUUGGAAGUUAAUUUUGACCCUACUGAUGACCCUAAGCGAAAUGUGCUUUGAUACUUUUCUGGAUUUGGUUUUGUUUUUUGCAAGUAUGAACUUUGGAACGUUACACUCUGCAGCUAAUCAAGAUUGACGAUAAGAUGAAGAUAUCAAGAGUGGAAGAGUGUUCAUUUUAAUGUUAUUGAAAAAGCGAGCUGUCUUUUGUGGCGUUCUAUUUCUCAACUUGGAGAACUUGCUUUGUUGUACGUAUUUUUAGGUUAUCCAACAAAUGAGAGAGACUUGGUGUCCAGUUUGGUCUUAUUGAAACAGCCAAUGUCUACAUGGGUGUUGUCUUUCGUGAACUACAUUCUUGAUUUGCUGUACCAUCAUGCAGUUAAUUUUCAGCCCAUGAGUGAGAGCAAUUGGAUAUUUAUUUGAAUUCCACCGAAACAACAAAUUCUCUGCUGCAGUUUUUCUCCUGGAGUUGGUUUGCUUUUUACACCUGCAAACUUUGGAACGUUACGUUCUACAAUUAAUUAAGAUCGACGUUGGAGAAGACAAAGAUGACCCUGUAGUUGAA